rnacentral:tRNA from 1 species
GUGCGUGUAGCUCAGUGGGAGAGCACCACCUUGACACGGUGGGGGUCGUAGGUUCAAUCCCUACCACGCACACCA